rnacentral:pre_miRNA from 1 species
UCUUAUGGAUGAGCCAAGAAAAUAGUGUCUUGAGAUGGAAACUACUCUUGGUGAAGAUGCUGUGAA